CCUCAAAGAACUGCAAAUUAUAAAUACAAAUUGCUCUAAGUUUGUGUUAAUGGAAACCUGUAUUGAAGGGACUGUCACCGUAAAGUGUCAGAUAAAAAUAAAGAGAUUAUCAAAAAAGGCCAACUAUCAGAAAGCAUUUAAAAGAAAAACGAGCCUUUAACUGAUUGGGGAAUUAAUAAAACCGUUCUAGCUUAGCGCGAUUGAGAAUCAAUUCACAUAAAAAACUUAAACCUCUUAACGGGA